CACCCUACUGUGGAGAAGGGUGCUGUUGUGGUGGUGGUGGUGAAAGGCUGUAUUUCCUGAGAGGAGAGAGUUGGAGGCUGAAGACUGGCAAACCCAGAGGGGGGAAAGUGAGACAUGUAGGAAGAAGCCCAGGGAAACAGCAGCAGCAGGAGGUAGGAUGGUACAAGGACUGUGGCUGCUUGUUUUAGGCUCCCUGGGCUGGAACCCAGUGUCGAGGGUGGGUGUGGAUUCCCAUACUAGCCACUGGGAAGUGACAAAGAUGUUGGAGGUGCUGGCUAGACAGCAUGUCUAGAAAGACUGAAUUCCCUGGAAGGGGAGGACUUUAGUAACCUGGCCAGAAGACCAAGUCAUACAGAGGAAGCUGCAGACCCAGGAGUAACCAAGACAGAAGCAUGCAGUAAGACAGGAGACUACUGCACUGGAGGGAGAGUGCAAGCUGGUCCCCCAGAUGGCCAGAAAGAGGUUUCUGUGACAGGAACACAUGAAAUCCUGCCAAGGGGGAAUUAUGGAAUCCUGGUAUUGGGGGUCACUAGGGGCACAGAAUUCCUGGGAGAGGAGACUGUGAAAGUCUCUGGUCUGGGGCUAUUGUGUCAGACAACAUGCUUGCUGCAUGGAAGUCCCACUGGAAUGAAAGAGACACUUGUCUUCAGCAGAGGCUGAGCAAAGAACAAGAGACCAGCAUUCCCAGGCUGCAGAGCUGCUCAAUGUCCUAUCCUGAUCCUGUCCCUCUGUACAGCCCAGCAGCCCACUGACACCUUGCAGAUCACUGAGACCACUUGGAUGCUACGGUCCUUGAAACAGAGUAACCCAGUGUGUAGACACAACAUGUCUUCCAGGCUCCCAGGUUUUCUAAUGAAUUAAUGAAGUAUUUUCUGCUUUUACCUUGUAGCGGGUUUUGCUGGAGGGAGGAAAAGCUUGAACUGGCUCAUUUCUCAUACUGCUUCUUGCUUUUUUCUUGGAUUUGUUUGUUGGAUAUUUCAUUGGCGGAGAGGGGUGGGUUUCUUGUUCAUUGUCUGGCAGAUGAUGGCACCAAAACUUGAAAGCUCUGAAUGCUUCAGGGAACUGAACUCAGGUCUGCCAUGUCCUAAGCCAGUGCCUUCCUCUUCAGCUGCAAUUCAUGAUGCUGAUGGAAAGGAGAACGAUGUGUGCACUUUAUGUGGUUACUUAACAAUGUUGUUCACUUUCCUACCAGCACAAGUAAAAACAUCUCACAGGUCCGUGAAACAAGCACCUGAAUCAUCUGGCUCUUUUAAAUAUAUAGAAAAGUUAGCUUUUGGCUUUCACUUUUGGUUCAGGUGGGGGAUAGUUAGCCCAUCCAACCCUAGGCCUGCGUCCCUCAGGAAGACAUGAAUCCUGGGUGUGCUUCACCUGCUCUGAUAAGGUUGGAGAUGUCCUCCUGGGUGCAUUUGGCCCAGGCAGUUAGGUUGCCUAUCAGUGAGACAUGGCACUAUGACUGAGGCAACCAACAGAAUGACAAAACCAAACUCUCCCACCAACAUACAGAAAGAUUAGACCUGUAUUGAUAAUAUUUCAAUAACAAAGGAAUUUGUCCAAAAAUAUGAUUCAUGGCAUGUUACAUUUGGAAAUAUGUAGCUAGAAUUUCAGAGUAUUAACUUAGUACUAAUCACUUGCUGAAUUUUUUUGCAUAGUUUUUGCUUUUAGUACUGUAUCUAUUAAUUAUUGAAAACUACUGAACCUGAUGUAACUUACGCUUUUUUUUUUUGUAAAUCAACUUUGCGUUGUC